AGGCUCCUAGAAUCACACCUUUAUCUUUUGGAAUUAUUCAAUGGAAUGUUCUGGAAAAAAGCUUUAUGACUACAUUAUACUUUUUCAGGAGUAAUGUAUGUCAAGAACGAAGCCACUCAGAUGAUAGAAGGGUGGAGCAGGGAUUGAAGAUUCAGGAUGAACUAAAGAGGCAAUGUGUUGGGAUGUGAAGAAGCAUGAGAUGUAAUCCCUGGCCUCGAGAACCUUUCAGCCUGGUGGGG